AUACCCUUGGUAGUCCUAGCCCCUAAACGUAUCAGGAUCUUGGGGUGCCGCACGUUCGUGCGUCGUCCCGGAGCCUAACGCGUUAAGUCCUGCAACCUGGGGAGUACGGUCGCAAGACUGAAAACUCAAAGGAAUUGACGGGGGCCCGCACAAGCGGUGGAACAUGUGGUUCAAUUCGACGCUACGCGAGGAACCUUACCUGGGCUCGAAGCGCACUUGACUAGCUGUAGAAAUACGGCCUUCUCGCAAGAGACAAGUGUGGAGGCGCUGCAUGGCUGUCGUCAGCUCGUGCCGUGAGGUGUUGGGUUAAGUCCCGCACGAGCGCAACCCCUGCACGUAGUUGCCACUCCGCAAGGAGGGAACUCUACGUGGACUGCUCCGGAUAACGGAGAGGAAGGUGGGGAUGACGUCAAGUCCGCAUGGCCUUUAUGUCCAGGGCUACACACGUGUUACAAUGCAGGGCACAAACCGUUGCCAACCCGCGAGGGGGAGCUAAUCGGAAAAAACUCUGCUCAGUUCGGAUUGCAGUCUGCAACUCGACUGCAUGAAGCCGGAAUCGCUAGUAAUGGCGUAUCAGAUCGACGCCGUGAAUACGUUCCCGGGCCUUGUACACACCGCCCGUCACAUCACGAAAGUGAGUUGUACUAGAAGUCGCCACGCUAACCGCAAGGAGGCAGGCGCCCAAGGUAUGACCCAUGAUUGGGGUGAAGUCGUAACAAGGUAGC
rnacentral:rRNA from 1 species